rnacentral:lncRNA from 1 species
GUUUUGAAAACGGUGUUGAUACAGUGGAAGGCUUGUGGUGUUGCUGGCCCUUGAUCGCUGGAAGGAUUCCGAGGUGUAGUUUUCGAAGCGGGAGUUUUGUUCGCAUUGGGCGCUUAGCGUCUGUUACUGUCGCUAACGGGAGAUUGUCAACGUGUUUGCAUUGGGCCAUUUGCAUCAGUUGGGACCGUUGUUACUGACCUCCUAGGUUGUGUGUUGCGUUUACACGCUUAAAUCCGGGUUUCACGGUCUCUUAGUACUCGCGUAUUUAAGCUCAUCGCGCGUACCUUACUUCUACGCGUUCACGUCGGUUCGUCCGGGCCUAUCAGCGCCGCUGCUUUUAAAUUGGCCGUGUGCGCUUUACGUUUGCACCUUUACGUCGGAUCACUGGGGUCCAUCAGCGCCGUAGUUUUUGAGCUGGCCGGGCGUGCUUUCGAGCGCUUAGUUGCUUUCGGUUUCACUUGGUUGCGGCGUGACGAUCAUUGAGUUAAAGGUUACUGCACUCACUUCAGUCGCCAUCGGUCUCCGUAAUCUGACUGCCCUUUGCUAUUACUUGCUUCACUCACAUACGAUAUGCGGACGGUCCUAUUUAAGUUGAGCGCCCAUACUUCACUAUCCCAAGUGGGACUGCUUUUUCAUUUACGUGUCUCUAUCCGAGGCAGUAUAAACAUCUUUCCAUUCAAGUUUACCGCAUGUGUUUCACUAUCGAGAGUCGGACUGCUUUUGGAUUUACGUGGCUUUGUGGGAUGCGGUAUGAAGAUCGUUGCAUUCAAGUUUACCGCCUCUACUUCACUGCAGAAUCUGACUGCCGUCAGAUCUGUAUGACAGAUUGUUGCAUUCGUUUUCUGCGGGUACGUCACUAUCCAGUCUACUUUUUCCAUUGACGUGGCUGAGUCAUAUGUAGUAUGACUGUCAGAGACGUUGGAACCUGAAGCGACCCCAUUUUGAGUGAGGGCUAGAAAAAUGAGGCCGGGACUUACGGGCCUGCAUUCUCAGAAGGAUAUUCCUAGCUUUCAGAUACUUACGGUUAAGGGAACAAAUUAAUGUUUACUGAAGAGACCCGAGUGUCCAGAUAGCUGGAUAUCUGGAGAACAAAGGCGUUCCUAAUUUUGCUUUAAAGGUAGUAAUAGGGAUUCUUGCAAAAUGUAAUAAUUAAAGUUAAUUAUCACAAACCCUUGUAACAGAACACCUCUCCCCAUGUGUACAAGCAUUGUACCUAGGGUGGAUACGUUCCUUCUCUUAGUUUCAGGAACGCCCUUCUCUGUCUGUGGAGUAGCUGUUCUUUCACCACUUUACUUUCUUAAUAAACUUGCUUUUAUUUUGCACCGCGGACUUGCCCUGAGUUAUUUCUUGCGCGAGACCCAAGAACCCUCUCUUUGGGUCUGGAUCGGGGCCCUUUUCCUGUGACGUAUUUCUGGCCACCACAGAUGGGACUAUAGUGCUUUGGGGAAGUGUUGGGGUCCUAUAACAUAUUUCUGGCGAAUGAUGGAAGGGACGAUACUGAAGAAACUCCCCCAACCCAAAGGAAGUAGACUGCAGCACUGCAGUAGUCAGUAGACUGACUUUGGGUAAGUGGUGGAGUGCCCGGGUAAAGAAUGGGAUUGGGUUAGAGGCCCAACUUAAUGGAGUUAGAGUCUUUCCUAAAAGAGAGUGGGUUAGAGGCCCCUCUUAAUAAAAGGCAAGGACACUUGACCGACCUCGGGUUAGAGGCCCGACCGAGGAGGGUUAGAGGCCCCUCCCAGUAAAGCCCCUCUCGGCUAAAAAACAGGUUUGACACCGCAGGCUAUGCUCUUUGUAUUAGUCUGCCUCGUCCUCCUUGUCUUGGUUGCUGUCUCCGUUUCAGUGUCAUUUUCAGGAGACUUCAUUUAACUGGUCUUAGGGAUUUUAACUGAUUCUUCUCCUAUGUCCCUCCCGAUUUCUGUCCGUUUGCUUGUGAAACACUGGGAACCAAAAGCAUUGGAGGAUCCGGCUCUAAAAUUGCUGAUUGAGAUUUGAUAUUUAACAGCUAUGAGCAGUAAGAUUCGAUAGAUGUGGUUGUGUUUUGUUGCUGCUGUGCUGAGUGUGAUUGAGAAGCACUAGGAUGGAAAUCAGGGGACUUUUCUCCUUGCUGUUUUGUUUGGUUUUGCACACUAAAAAAUCUCCUUUGUAGCUAAGUGCGGUGGCUCACACCUGUAAUCCCAGCACUUUGGGAGGCCGAGGCAGGCAGAUCACCUGAAAUCAGGAGUUCGAGACCAUCCUGGCCAACGUGUUGAAACCCCGUCUCUACUAAAAAUACAAACAUUACCCGGGUGUAGUGGCAGACAUCUGUAAUCCCAGCUUCUUGGGAUGCUGAGUCAGGAGAAUCGCUUUAAUCUAGGAGUCAGAGUUUGCAGUUAGCUGAGAUUGCACCACUGCACUCCAGCAGUCUUCUCAACAGAGCGAGACUCUGUCUCAAAAGAAAAUAAAAAAACUUUCUUUUCUUGGAUUCGGGCAAACCGUGUUUGCUUUGCUUUUCCAAUCCUCACUGCUGUUAUUGGUUACUCUGGUUGUUCCCAUCUAAAUCCUCUUCAUUUAUUUUGCCUUAUUCGACAUUUUUUUCAAAGUCCAUGUUGUGGUUUAUCUAAGAUUCAUAGCUCAGCUCACUUAUGUUAUUUGGAUAAUGUGAAUCAUGUUUGAUGAGAGGAAAAGAAGAAAAAGAUUUAGACAUACUAGGUGAUCCUUUAAUGCAAGCCCUGCUGUGGUUCAGCAGGCAUUUUUGGGUGGAGCGGAACCCCUUUCUGUCAGCUCUGAAGGUUCGUAUGUGUCAGUUCUUUCUCCCUGUAGUCCACCUGAAAGUUCUUGAGAACCCUUCGUCCCUUCUCCUUACCCAGCUAGUCCCACUCUGUACCCACCAUUCCCACAAAGAACUUAGCCCACCGAGUACUACUUAUAGUGCAGCCUGCUAUCAACCUCCAAAGGGAAAUCUUUGUCCACUUAGGUGGCAAAUCGGGAAGAGGGCACUGUGAGAGUACAUGUUCCCUUUUCUCCGUCUGGUUUGACCCUAUAUAUAGAGAAGGUUGGUCAUUUCUCUGAAGAUCCAGGAAAAUUUGUAGAUGAGUUUGAGAAAUCAACUCUGACCUAUAGUUUAACUUGGGAGGAUCUGCAUGUUUUGUUGUCUCUGUGUUGUACAGUGGAGGAGAAACAAUGCAUUUUGGGGACAGCUAGGACCCAUGCAGAUGAGGUAUUGGCUCGCAACCCGUACCAUACUAUGUAUCAGGCAGGAAGUAUAGCAGUUCCAGAUCAAGAUGCAGAGUGGAAUUAUCAAAGGCGCAGUGAGCACUUGGGGAGGAGAGAUCAUAUGGUCACUUGUUCGUUGGAAGGGAUGAAGAAAUGUAUGAAAAAGCCUGUUAUCUAUGAACAGGUUAAGGAAGAUUCUCAGGAUAAAGAUGAGAAUCCAGCAGCCAUCUGCACCCAAACCAGAUGCCAAAAUAACCAGGGAAGCCCAAGAGUGACGGGGCCCAAGACCUUCCGCUACACCUCCCGUCGGACAACUAGCCAUAUCUUCUGAGAAGCCUCAGAUAACCCUUGACAUGACAGGUAAUAAUAUUAACUUCCUUCUAGAAUGCUUACUCUGUUUUGACCCAUUAUAAUGGGCCUCUGUCAUCCCAAAACUCUAUGGUCAAGGGGAUAGACAGGCCCAUAGAUGCCAUUUUACCUAUCCUAUAAGCUGCUCUUCAGGGACUUUGGUUUUCUCCUGAAUGCCCCACCCUUGUUGGGAAGGGGUUUAUUAACUCAGCUGCAAACAGUAGUAUGUUUUGGAAAUGACAAGGCAGACAGAAAAUGCUUCUUCUCCUUUCCUGUGAAUAAAUACCAGGCUUUGUUGCUAGAUGCUCCUGAUACAACACUUAAAGUAUGCCAGAUUUUAAUCCAGCUACCUACUUGCCUGAACCCACAGGCACCCCAGAUCAUUCUUGGAUACAAGUUAUGGAGCAAGUUUACUCUAGCCGUCCACAUUUAAAAGAUGAGCCUCUAGAUAAUCCCAAAGUAGAAUGGUUUACAGAUGGAAAUAGCUUUGUGAAGGGGUGGGUUGCCCCUCCACACCUGUGGGUGUUUCUCAUUAGCUGGAACGAGAGACUUGGAAAAGAAAAAGACACAGAGACAAAGUAUAGAGAAAGAAAUAAGGGGACCCAGGGAACCAGCGUUCAGCAUAUGGAGGAUCCCGCCAGCCUCAGAGUUCCCUUAGUAUUUAUUGAUCAUUUUUGGGUGUUUCUCAGAGAGGGGGAUGUGGCAGGGUCAUAGGAUAAUAGUGGAGAGAAGGUCAGCAGAUAAACACGUGAACAAAAGUCUCUGCAUCAUAGACAAGGUAAAGAAUUAAGUGCUGUGCUUUAGAUAUGCAUACACAUAAACAUCUCAAUGCCUUACAGAGCAGUAUUGUUGCCCGCAUGUCCCACCUCCAGCCCUAAGGCGGUUUUCCCCUAUCUCAGUAGAUGGAGCAUACAAUCGGGUUUUAUACGGAGACAUUCCAUUGCCCAGGGAUGGGCAGGAGACAGAUGCCUUCCUCUUGUCUCAACUGCAAAGAGGCAUGCCUUCCUCUUAUACUAAUCCUCCUCAGCACAGACCCUUUACGGGUGUCGGGCUGGGGGACGGUCAGGUCUUUCCCUUCCCACGAGGCCAUAUUUCAGACUAUCGCAUGGGGAGAAACCUUGGACAAUACCUGGCUUUCCUAGGCAGAGGUCCCUGCGGCCUUCUGCAGUGUUUGUGUCCCUGGGUACUUGAGAUUAGGGAGUGGUGAUGACUCUUAAGGAGCAUGCUGCCUUCAAGCAUCUGUUUAACAAAGCACAUCUUGCACCGCCCUUAAUCCAUUCAACUCUGAGUUGACACAGCACAUGUUUCAGAGAGCACGGGGUUGGGGGUAAGGUCACAGAAUCUCAAGGCAGAAGAAUUUUUCUUAGUACAUAACAAAAUGGAGUCUCCUAUGUCUACUUCUUUCUACACAGACACAGUAACAAUCUGAUCUCUCUUGCUUUUCCCCACAAUACUGAUUCUAAGUAUGCCUUUCUGGCACUUCAUGCUCAUGCUGCUAUCUGGAAGGAACAGGGCCUUCCAACUGCUAAGGGAUCCCUAUAAAACAUCACUUAGAAAUUCGGAAUCUAUUGGAUGCUGUUUUGCUGCCCAAGGAAGUAGCUCUAAUCCAUUGCAGAGGACAUCAAAAAGGAGACUCUAGUGCGGCUAAGGGAAACUCCUUUGCAGAUGCAGCUGCUAAGACAGCAGCAUUAAAGGAGCUAGUUGGACCUGUCAGCAUGUUAGUGCCCUCAGCCAUGGUAAUGACAGAACCUGGGUAUACUGAAGAGGAACAAGAAUGGGCUAAAGGUCAGGGUUUAAUUCAAGAUCCUUCUGGCUGGCUUAUCAAUGACAACAAGCUGUUACUACCAGGUGCUAAUCAGUGGAAAAUAGCUAAGUAUUUGCAUGACUCUCUCUACUCAUCUGGAAAGAGAUUCCCUGUUUUAAUUAAUGCCCAGGCUUUUUGUAGGAAAAGACUUACUUAAAAUGGUAAAGCAGGUAACUCAGGCCUGUGACCUAUGUGCCCGGAAUAACCCAAAUAACCAAUCUUUACCUCCUCCCCUAAUAAGUCCUGUUUAGCAUAGGGGAAUGUACCUUGUUGAAGACUGACAAAUAGACUAUACUCAGAUGCCCCUAUGUAAAGGGUUGAAAUAUUUAUUGUUAGUCAUUAACACCUUUACUUGUUGGUUCAGGCUUUUCCUACCUGGUCUGAAAAGGCAAUUGAAGUUUCUAAACUCCUGUUAAAGGAAAUAAGUCUUAGAUUUGGUCCGCCUAAGAGUUUACAGAGCAAUCAUUGGCCAUGUUUCACAGUGACAAUUACCCAAAACGUAUCUUCAGCCCUAGGAAUUCAGUACCGCCUUCACUUGGCAAGGAGGCCACAGUCUUCAGGGAAAGUAGAAAGAGCUAAUCAAGCUCUAAAAAGGACUCUUGCUAAACUAUGCCAGGAGAUAUCAGAAACCUGGCUGUCUUUAUUACCUAUAGCCUUAUUAAGUGUUUGAGUGGCUCCUAAGGGAAAUCUAUGGCUCACCAGUUUUGAAAUUAUGUAUGGAAGGCCUUUCUUAACUACAGACCUCCUAAUAGACAUAGAUACUUUCAAGCUACAGAAUUAUGUGAUCAACUUAGAACAAAUGCAAAAUGCACUCCUUAAAUAUGGAAACCAAAGACUCCCUUCCCCCACUAAGAAAGAGACUCUUGUUACAACCCAGCCAGGAGAUUGAGUCCUGUUAGAAACUUGGAACUAUUCCCAGAAGAUCAACUUUCCCCAAAAUGGAAGGGACCCUAUCAAGUUCUCCUCAGUAUGCCAGCUAUAGUUAAACUUCUGGGAAUAAACAGCUGGGUCCACUUAUCUCGAAUGAAACCUGUCUCUUAUGAAGUCCCGCAAUCUGGUGGAACACAGACUGAUCCCGUUUAUCCCUGUGAGCCAAGCAGUGACCUCCGACUCCUGUUCAGAAGAAAUGAAAGAGAUGGGUAACCUAAAGAUAUGGAUUGGGAUUCUCCUUUUGGGUAGAAGUUGGAAUCAUGCAGAGAUUAACUUAUUUAUUGAGUGGGCAUAGGCUUUAGCCUCUCUACAUAAUCAGAUAAACUGCUGGGUAUGUGGACAUUUUAACAGCAGCCCAAGGGGAAACAUGUGCUUUGAUCAAAAUCGAAUGUUGUGUGUAUGUUUUUGACUAUUCACAUACUAUUACCCAGGCUAUGAAAGCUUUAGACACUCAUAUCUCUGCCAUUGGCGUGCUGUCAAUCGACCCUAUAUUGGCUUGGUUUCAACAACUGCCUAGUUCUUGGAAAGACUUCCUGUUUAGUUUACUUGGAAUAAUUUUACUUACUUUGCUUUGCUGCUGUGGAAAAUAUUGUGGUUGAGCUCUUUGUGUAGGAAUGCAAGACAAGCUCACUCAAUGCUUUUUUAAAUUGGACACUUACUAAUCUUCCAGAUAUCACCUUUCGUCAGAACUCAGAGUUAUGAAUGACAUUUACCAUAUCAACGCUCUCUGAGCUUUUCUCUAUCCCGAAUGCAAGAGACUGUAAUAGUUAGGCAGCAAUAUCAUUGCCCCAAUUCAGCCUGAAGAAGUUACACAAGACAGAUCUUCAUCUUGCUGCAACCCUUAGGAUUAAGGGUCCUGUUGUAAAGGGAGUGGGGAGAUAUGUCCGAGGCAUUUGAACCAAAGCGACUCCAUUUUGAGGGAGGGCUAGGAAAAUGAGGCUGGGACUUUCUGGGCUGGAUUCUGAGAAAGUCAGGCAUUCCUAGCCUCUAGAUGUUUAUGGCUAAGGGAACAAAUUAAUAAUGUUUACUAAACAGACCCAAACGUGGCAAUGUCCAGAUAUGUCGAUAUCUGGAGAACAAAGGCAUUCCUAAUUUUGCUUCAAAGAUGAUAAUAUCGGUUCUUGCAAAAUACAGUAAUUGAGAACAUUAAUCUUUUAUCACAAACCCUUGUAGCAGAGCACAUCUCCCCAAAUAUACAAGCAUUGUACCUAGGAUAGAUGUGUUCCUCCUCUUACUUUUGGGAAUGUCCUAUUCUGUCUAUGGAGUAGCUGUUUUUUCACCACUUUGCCUUCUUAAAAAACUUGCAUUUACUUUGCACUGAGGGCUCAUCCUGAAUUCUUUCUUGUGUGAGAUUCAAGAACCCUCUCUUGGGGUCUGGAUUGGGGCCCCUUUCCUGUAACAUGAUUGCUGCAUUCAAGUUUUCUGUGUGUACGUUACUAUCUAGAGUCUGACUUCUUUUUGAUUCACUUGGCUCACUCACAUGCAGUAUGAAGAUUGCUGCCUUCAAUGUCAUGGCGUGUAUGUCACUAUUAGGAGUCUUACCACUUUUCAAUUCACUUGGCUUAGUCAGAUGCGGUAUGAAUAUCACUGCAUUCAUAUUCGUCACAUGUACGUCACUAUCCAGAGUCUAACUACAUUUCAAUUCACCUGGCUCAGUCAGAGGGGUAUAAAGAGCCUGUCAUUUAAAUUUAUGACAUGUACUUUGCUCUCCAGAGUCUGACUAAUUUUCGAUUCACUUGACUCAGUUAGAUGUGGUAUGAAGAUGAUUGACUUCCAGUUACCGCAUGAACAUCACUCUGCUGAGUCUAUUUUUUGAUUCACGUGGCUCAGUAGAUAUGGUAUGAAGAUCACUGCAUUCACGUUUACCACGUGUAUAUCACCAGAGUGUGACUUACUUUCCAUUCACUUGGCUCAGUCAGUGUGGGCAGAAAGCCACCCAGGUGCCGAGGAAAGAGACUGAAGGCAUAAGCUGCUCCAAUAUAAUAAAGAAAAUAGUUAGGAUAAAAGAAAGUUAUAUUAGACAUAGGAUAUAGAGAUUAUAUAUGGAUAUUAUCAAUUAUUAGUUUUUAGUAUUAAUGUUUGUUAUUUUAACUGAGGAAAAACCAGGCCAUACAGAGUCAGGAGCUGAAGGGACACUGUGAGAGGUGACCAGAAGACAAGAGUAUGAACCCUCUGUCACACCCAAAUAAGGGCUCCUUGAGGGCUCCUUGGUUUAGUGGUAGUGCCAGUGCCUGGGAAGGCACCCGUUAUUUAGCAGACCUUGGUCUAGCAGUAGUGCCAGUGCGUGGGAAGGCGGCACCCAUUACUUAGCAGACCAGGAAAGGGAGUUUCCCUUUCCUUGGGGGAGUUAGAGAACACUCUGCUCCACCAGCUCUUGUGGGAGGUCGAACAGUAGCCAGGCCUGCCCGUAGUCAUCUGGAGGCUUAAACGUCUCCCUGUGAUGCUGUGCUUCAGUGGUCAUGCUCCUUGUUCACUUUCACAUUCCGCCUGUACACCUGGCUCCUCCUUUUAAGUUCUUAGAAGAUAGCAGUAGCAGAAUUAGUAAAAGUACUAACGUCUUUGAUCUUUCUGAUAAGUGCAUAGAAAAAAUGCUGACGUAUGCUGUCCUCCCUCUCUGCUUUGGCUACCACAAAGGGAAAGGCUGCCUGUCACGUGGACAAGUGACUUGCUUGACCUUAUCAAUCACUUGGGAUGACUCACUCUCCUUACCCUGCCCCUUUGCCUUGUAUACAAUAAAUAGCAAUGCAUCCAGGCAUUCUGGGCCACUACCGGACUCCACGCAUUGGUGGUAGUGGCCCCCUGGGCCCAGCUGUCUUUCUUACUGUCUUUGUCUUGUGUCUUAUUUUCCUAUGAUCUCUUGUCUCCACACAUGAAGAGAAAACCCACAGGCCCUGUAGGGCUGGACCUUACGUCUGGCACCCAAUGAGGUCUUCUCUCUCACUGUGUGAAGGUGCGCCUUGAGCGUGGAACUCAGCGAAGGACUACCAAUGACAGAUUCCUGAGGAUUGCAGUCAAUAAGCUUGGUGGUAAGCUUGGACACUCAGAGAAUCCCGGGGACACCAUGGGACAGGCCAGUACCAAGUGCUUGGCUUAUUUGAACUUUAUAAAAACUCUCCUUAAAGAAAGAGGUAGGCCGAGGCGGGCGGAUCACGAGGUCAGGAGAUCGAGACCAUCUUGGCUAACACGGUGAAACCCCGUUUCUACUAAAAAUACAAAAAAUUAGCCGGGCGUGUUGGCGGGCGCCUGUAGUCCCAGCUACUUGGGAGGCUGAGGCAGGAGAAUGGCGUGAACCCGGGAGGCGGAGCUUGCAGUGAGCUGAGAUUGCGCCACCGCACUCCAACCUGGGAGACACAGCGAGACUCUGUCUC